CUUUCCUGCACUGUUCUUGUAAUUGGGAAUGAGUCUCACAAGCUCUGAUGGAUUUUUUUUUAGAUGGGAGUUUACCUGCACAAAACUCUUUUUUUGCCUGCUACCAUCCACGUUAGAUAUGACUUGCUCCUCCUUGCCUUCCAUCAUGAUUGUGAGGCCUGCCCAGACAUGUGGAACUGAUCCCAUUGAGGAUGCCACAUUAUGUUUCAUUGCCAUGUCUCCAUAGACUCUUCUUGGUUGUGAUGGUUUCUCACGCUUUUCUUGGUUUUGAAGACGUUGACAAUUUUCUUCCAUUGGGAUUUGCUUGAUGCUUUUCUCAUGAUUACACUGGAACUGUGACUUUUUAGAAGGAAGAUCAUAGAGAUCAAAAUAGCAGUACCCUUUUACAUUUUUCUGAGGGUAUCCAGAUAGUUUUGUCUAUUAGCCACUAAUUGGAAAACAAGCCUGCUCUAAGAUAAGAAUCAGUGAAGUCUUGUGAAGGGGAGCUAAGAUAAAGGUAUUUUGUGUGCUGCCUUGCAUGGCAUGAAUUGGACCUUCAACUCUUUAGAGAGAGGAGAGGCAAAGUAAGGUGGCAGUUCACAAAGAAGACCUAAAAAUGGGGCCUCUUUGCUCGGCAAGUAAGAGUGGAGUAGAUUCUGAAGAACCAAGGUAAGUUGGGAAUGGUGAUGAGGGUGUGUUUGACAUCAGAAACCAAGACUGGUGACCCCAUACAGCGGGGAGUAGGGUCCACAGGGCUGGACUGGUGGGAGACUACAGAACACAAGGAACAUUUGGUUCUCUGGGUGCCUGGUGUGAGCCUGGGAUAUGGAAAUGCACCAGAAACAAUGCUUUUUUUAGGGAGAUUUUCAAUUUUGUGAGUAAUCUACAAAUUUAAUAUUUGUACCUUCUAUUCUAUUGAUUAAUCCCCCAUGAUAAACUUGUGGUUCAUGUGCUUGCGAGCAGAGAGCUCCAAGAUAACCUGGUAGAUUUUAUUUUCCCAGCUCAGCUUGGUCAUGCAAAUUGAAAUGUAAAAAUCUCUUUUGAAAAGCAACGCAUUUAAAAUGUCCAUAACCUUAGAAAAUAGUUUCAAUUCAAAAUAUUAAACCGUUGAUACGUCAUUACCACUGAGCAGCCCAAAGAAAUCCUGACAGAUGCACCAUUUGAAUCCAUAAGAACUAAAUAUUAGACUGCCUAGGACUCAUGGGUCUACUUUUUGAAAUCCACCUUAUGGUUACAAUACAAAUUGAGAUGAAAGAUGAUAAUAUCUAGGUUAUAACAUUAUUAAUAAUACAGAAAAAAAUGGAAUGGAAACAAUCUAUUAGGUCAUACACACAUACAUAUCCACUAUUUACAUAUACAGUAUAUAUUUGCAUGUUAAUAUAUGUGUGUAUACAUAUAUAUGUGUAUGUAUUUAUAUGUACAUUUAUGCAUAUUUGAAAAUAUACAUUUUCACAUACAGGCAUGUAACAUGUAUAUGUAUGUAUAUGGUAUUUUUGUGUGUAUCUAUAUCCAUCUCUAUAUAUGUUGCAUGUAUGGACACAUAGAGGCCAGAAAAAAAUAUAUCAGAAUGUUAAUAAUAAGCU
rnacentral:lncRNA from 1 species